GAUGAACGCUGGCGGCGUGCCUAAUACAUGCAAGUAGAACGCUGAAGGAAGGAGCUUGCUCUUUCCGGAUGAGUUGCGAACGGGUGAGUAACGCGUAGGUAACCUGCCUGGUAGCGGGGGAUAACUAUUGGAAACGAUAGCUAAUACCGCAUAACAGUAGAUGUUGCAUGAUAUCUACUUAAAAGGUGCAAUUGCACCACUACCAGAUGGACCUGCGUUGUAUUAGCUAGUUGGUGAGGUAACGGCUCACCAAGGCGACGAUACAUAGCCGACCUGAGAGGGUGAUCGGCCACACUGGGACUGGGACACGGCCCAGACUCCUACGGGAGGCAGCAGUAGGGAAUCUUCGGCAAUGGACGGAAGUCUGACCGAGCAACGCCGCGGGAGUGAAGAAGGGUUUCGGAUCGUAAAGCUCUGUUGUAAGAGAAGAACGAGUGUGAGAGUGGAAAGUUCACACUGUGACGGUAUCUUACCAGAAAGAGACGGCUAACUACGUG
rnacentral:rRNA from 1 species